AGGAAGACGAAGACGAUUCUUUCAUYUCUUUUGUUAACUCUUUUCACCCUGCCUUAGACUUUACGUGGGAGGUUAGUGAAACAUCAGUCACUUUCCUUGACAUCUUGCUCAGUGUUAAGGACGACCGUCUUAGCACUAGUGUCCAUUACAAACC